GUGCCAGCCGCCGCGGUAAUACCGGCAACCCGAGUGAUGGCCGACCUUAUUGGGCCUAAAGCGUCCGUAGCUGGCCGCGCAAGUCCAUCGGAAAAUCCACCCGCCCAACGGGUGGGCGUCCGGUGGAAACUGCGUGGCUUGGGACCGGAAGGCGCGACGGGUACGUCCGGGGUAGGAGUGAAAUCCCGUAAUCCUGGACGGACCGCCGAUGGCGAAAGCACGUCGCGAAGACGGACCAGACAGUGAGGGACGAAAGCUAGGGUCUCGAACCGGAUUAGAUACCCUAGUAGUCC
rnacentral:rRNA from 1 species